GACGAACGCUGGCGGCGUGCUUAACACAUGCAAGUCGAACGGAAAGGCCCUGCUUUUGUGGGGUGCUCGAGUGGCGAACGGGUGAGUAACACGUGAGUAACCUGCCCUCGACUUUGGGAUAACUUCAGGAAACUGGGGCUAAUACCGGAUAGGAGCUCCUGCUGCAUGGUGGGGGUUGGAAAGUUUCGGCGGUUGGGGAUGGACUCGCGGCUUAUCAGCUUGUUGGUGGGGUAGUGGCUUACCAAGGCUUUGACGGGUAGCCGGCCUGAGAGGGUGACCGGCCACAUUGGGACUGAGAUACGGCCCAGACUCCUACGGGAGGCAGCAGUGGGGAAUAUUGCACAAUGGGCGGAAGCCUGGUGCAGCAACGCCGCGUGCGGGAUGACGGCCUUCGGGUUGUAAACCGCUUUCGCCUGUGACGAAGCGUGAGUGACGGUAAUGGGUAAAGAAGCACCGGCUAACUACGUG
rnacentral:rRNA from 1 species